AUUCUACUAAGGAACUAAAUAGUGAUGGACAAAAGGAAUACAGAACAGUGUUGAAAGCCUGGCUGAGACGUGAUGCAGAAAAUGGCAAUAGCGGCCUUUGAUGUUACUAAUGAAUUUCUUAAGCAAUUAACUACAGCAAUGAGUAUAAAAAGAUGAAGCUGGAGAAAUUGAAUUGAGGUGUUUGCAUAGCAUGAAGAUUGGCAAGGCAAGGAGAGCACUGGUCAUGGAAGCAAAGGAUCAUGCCCCCGUCUUCCCUGCAGAUGUUUCACCACUCCUCCGUGAAGAAGAGGAAGAAGUCAAAAUCACAUGCGGAAAUUUCCCAGGUGCCACAGAUGAUGUGGCCAGAAGGAUGACCUCCUCUCGGGUCUCUGAAAAUCAAGGUAGUCAAGCCUUCUGCAGAGAAGCUCAGGACUGCCUGCUAUUAUCUCUCCUCCAAAAGAUAAUAAUUCCACAAACAGUUGUUGCACACCUACAAAAUACUGACUCUGCACCAAACACUGGGGAAUAUAAAGAUGAUUAAGAUACAGUUCUUGUCCUCAGGAGGCUGCUGGCUAGUGGGGGGACACAGGUGAUGAACACAACAACAGCGGCACUAGACACAGUGGCCAGCAGAGAAGGGAGUGGGGAACUUGAGGGUGGGCUGGGUCCUCCUUGAAGGGCAAGACGGGCUAUGAUAAUAGUAUUUAUUGAGCAUUUACUGUGUUCCAGGCACCGUUCUAAGUAUACAUGUAUUAACCAAUUAAAAACAUGCAUGAGGAGGCCAGCCCAGUGGCGUAGUGGGUAAGUUUGCGUGCUCCUCUUCGGUGGUCUGGGGUUCAUGGUUUCGGAUCCCAGGUGCAGACCUACAAACCAAUCACCAAGCCAUACUUGGGUUGCGCCCCACAUACAAAAAAUAGGGGAAGCUUGGCACAGAUGUAAGCUUAGUGACAAUUUUCCUCAAGCAAAAAGAGGAAGAUUGGCAACAGAUGUUAUCUCAGGGCCCAUCUUCCUCACCAAAAAAAAAAGAAAAGGAAGAUAGAAAGAAAGAAAAAAAGAAAAAAAAAAUUCCCCCCAACCGCCCAAAAUGCAUGAGACAAGUACUAGUAUUAUCCCCAGAUGAGUAAACUGAGAAUGUAAGUAAUUUGCUUAAGGUCACACAGCUAAGUCUGGAUUCAACACCUCAGUGCAUAGUCUUAAUGACUGCACAGUGCUGCAGGAAAGCAUUUCCAGGAAGCUGCUCCAGGGCUAAGAAUAUAAAAAAUAGGCAUGGAUUAGUAAUCUUUAACAUGUUUUGUAGGUGCUCUGGUAGAGUGUGGACUAGAGUCCCAGAUGUGAGACUAGAAUCUAGGAUUUCCCAAGAGGAAGUAUCCAGCGAUAGAGUCCCCAUAAGCAAAAUAUCCAGAAAGUUCCUAUUUCAGGUAACUGUGCUUCUAGAACCCUGUUUAGAAAUCCCUGUUCCCCUAAAGAUGGUGACUAGGGUUCAGGCAAGCUACCAGAGAUUUACACAUUAAAAUGCAAAUGAGGCUGGAUUCUAAGAGUUUAAAGAGCCAUGAUUUUAGUCCACCAGGCUUCCCAGAGCCAGAUCAUUGUCUUUAUCUUGCAAAUAGAGAGAUUUGAGAGUUUGAGAGCAGAAGAGCCCCAAACAGGACUUGGCAUGCUAGGGCUGGCCUGAGGCAGAGCUGGGAAGAAGCCAUUUUGCAGAAGGAAAAAUACCUAGAAAGGAUGAGCGUAUAUCUAAUCCAGAAUGAGCUUUCUGACAAUGGAAAGAUUUGGUAGGCUCAGGCAAGAGGAGUCUUGAUAAGGGCAAGCAGAAAUGAUUGAGAAAAAAUGGGAUUCCAGCAUGUAGGUGGCGAGGAAUGUGUCUUGGCAGCCUUCGAUUUCAACAGGGAGACCUGGGCUGGGAUGGGAAAGGGCCUUCUCCUCCAGGACCAAGGUGGAGCUAAAGGAACGACCUCAGCUUUGGCCAGGGGUGUAGAAGUCAGCUGUGCUGACCAGUGGGACAGUAGCCUUGUAGGUCGGGACUCCUGUG
ensembl:lncRNA